rnacentral:rRNA from 1 species
GACGAACGCUGGCGGCGCGCUUAACACAUGCAAGUCGAGCGAGAACCAGCCCUUCGGGGCUGGGGAAAGCGGCGAACGGGUGAGUAACACGUGAGUAACCUGCCCUCGGCACCGGGAUAGCCCGGGGAAACCCGGAUUAAUACCGGAUGGCCUUUCGGAUCUUCGGAUCCGUCAGAAAAGGUGGCUUCGGCUUCUGGCCGAGGAGGGGCUCGCGGCGGAUUAGCUUGUUGGUGGGGUAAUGGCUCACCAAGGCGACGAUCCGUAGCUGGUCUGAGAGGACGAUCAGCCACACUGGGACUGAGACACGGCCCAGACUCCUACGGGAGGCAGCAGUGGGGAAUCUUGCCCAAUGGGCGCAAGCCUGAGGCAGCGACGCCGCGU